GCUCGAGGUUCCACCUUGUGCGGGGUCUCGAGAACUUUAAAAGCUCAGGUCCCGCUCAUUGCGCCUGCGUGGCCCGGCCCCUCCGGUGCCCACCUGAGUCCCACUGGGCAGCCGGGGUGUGGGUGGUUUCCGCAGCCAGGAAACUGAGUCUUGGUCCCCUCCGAGCCCUGCACGGGGUGUGUGUGUGUUCGUGUGUGUGAUAAACCGAGAGCGAGGGCGGGCCGCUCAUCCCUAAAUUAGUGCCCUGGUGCAUGUGGGCGCCAGCGCUGCCAAGAGAAAGUCCCGUUGUGCCCGCCGUCCUAGGCUGCCCCUGAGCUCUAACUCCUAACUUUUGGGGCGCCAGGGGUGAAAGCUGGAGGCAGUACAAGCACAGGGGCUGAUUUGCAGCAGUUUUCGGCCUCUUUAUUUAGAACCAGUGGACGAGGAGCCGGGCAGUGGUGCAGACGGCUCAGGAACCAUUUUAAAAAAAACAGAUUUGUCUUCAAGUUUAAAAUAAUCAUAAUAGUAAAAGAGACAGCGGCCUUGAAGAGACUACAAGCUAGAUGGGCUUGUACGGCAGCUACAGCUUGAGUGACCCACUCCCCUAGAAUACGCUAUAAAAAUAAAUUUACAUUUGUUGAUAACCAGAUGCGAGUGAGGUGCCUUUGGCAUAACCAAUAACCGAGCUGCGGGUAACAAGCUGACCGCCUCGACAUAAAUAGAAAAUAUAAGUUAGUAUAAUUUUAAAACUUUUGUACAAAUAUACAGGUUUUUUCUUUUUCCUUUUUUUUGUCUUUUUCAUUUUUUUGCACUGAGUUUCAGCAGAGAUUAAACAUUUUAUAUAAAUGACUCUUAAAGCUUUACACCUUGGGACCAGUGUACUCCUUGGGCAGAAUACAUUUAGAUAUAAAAGACGUUAUUAAUACAUUGCACAGUUGUCAAACUUUAAACGAAACCGAACGCUGCUCGCGGCAGCUGCCGCGGGUUGCUGCUACAUGGACGGUCCCAGCCGAGGCCCAGCGCUCCUCUCCUGUCCACUGCCCAACGG
rnacentral:lncRNA from 1 species